rnacentral:rRNA from 1 species
GAUGAACGCUGGCGGCGUGCCUAAUACAUGCAAGUCGAGCGAACAGACGAGGAGCUUGCUCCUCUGACGUUAGCGGCGGACGGGUGAGUAACACGUGGAUAACCUACCUAUAAGACUGGGAUAACUUCGGGAAACCGGAGCUAAUACCGGAUAAUAUAUUGAACCGCAUGGUUCAAUAGUGAAAGACGGUUUUGCUGUUACUUAUAGAUGGGUCCGCGCCGCAUUAGCUAGUUGGUAAGGUAACGGCUUACCAAGGCUACGAUGCGUAGCCGACCUGAGAGGGUGAUCGGCCACACUGGAACUGAGACACGGUCCAGACUCCUACGGGAGGCAGCAGUAGGGAAUCUUCCGCAAUGGGCGAAAGCUUGACGGAGCAACGCCGCGUGAGUGAUGAAGGUCUUCGGAUCGUAAAACUCUGUUAUUAGGGAAGAACAAAUGUAUAAGUAACUAUGCACGUCUUGACGGUACCUAAUCAGAAAGCCACGGCUAACUACGUG